rnacentral:rRNA from 1 species
GGAAAACUUACCAGGGCCAGACAUAGUGAGGAUUGACAGAUUGAGAGCUCUUUCUUGAUUCUAUGGGAGGUGGUGCAUGGCCGUUCUUAGUUGGUGGAGUGAUUUGUCUGGUUAAUUCCGUUAACGAACGAGACCCCCGCCUGCUAAAUAGGUCCGUGAAUGAAUUUCAUUGACGAGAUCUUCUUAGAGGGACUUUUGGUGACUAACCAAAGGAAGUUGGGGGCAAUAA